rnacentral:sRNA from 2 species
ACUCAACGUUAAUUCUUUAAAAAGGGUGAGUUUAAGUUGUAAAAGCAGGCUGCAACACUAAAUUUAUUUAGUGUUAGACAGAUCCUUGAUCAGCUUGUUAGCCCUAAACUUGUUUUUAAGGAGUUU